CGUGCCCCACUCGUGUUGCAGACGUGGCUGUAGUGCCCCGUUUGUGUCAUUAGGUGGCAGAGAGGAAAAGGCCGUGUCUUUGCUAGCGCUCUGAAACCUGUGAGCGCUCGGGAAUGAUGAGCAGCCUGACAAU
rnacentral:snoRNA from 1 species